UACGAAGGGGGCUAGCGUUGUUCGGAAUUACUGGGCGUAAAGCGCGCGCAGGCGGUUCGAUAAGUUGGGGGUGAAAUCCCCGGGCUCAACCCGGGAAUUGCCUUCAAGACUGUCGAGCUAGAGGACGAGAGAGGUGAGUGGAAUUCCCAGUGUAGAGGUGAAAUUCGUAGAUAUUGGGAAGAACACCUGAGGCGAAGGCGGGUUGCUGGGCUGACACUGACGCUGAGGCGCGAAAGCCAGGGGAGCGAACGGG
rnacentral:rRNA from 1 species